CAGGGAUCUGGGAACGAGUGAUCAGCGGUAGGGCACAGUGAUGUAGCAACCUCGCGUGCGUCUCUUUGGCUCUUCUCUCGUUAAAAUGGAUGAUGUGAUAGAGAUCAAGUCAAGUGAAAGACAUCGAGCACAGCGAUGCCCAAAUAGAUGGAAUGGUCACUCAGAACCGUGCAAAAAGGUCAUUUUAUUAAGGUUCGCAAGGAAAGUCAAGUUAUUGAAAAUACAGUAAGUCUUAGAGCAGGAGCCGUCAGAUAAGGUAGGUGUUACGUUAUAACUAGUUUUCUGUUUUAUCAACCAUCAUCCUUCCUAUAUCUUGGCAAAAUUGCUUGAUUAGCCCCGGGUUUUCUGGCAGCUUAUGAUAGAGACUGAAAAUGGUAGCUACGGCCAUUAAAUGGGGGAAGCGUUUUAUAGGUGACCGCUUAGAGAACACUGUUUUAUACUUCAUUCACCAAGUCGUGAAAUCGGAAACUAGGACAGUAGUUCCGCAAAAUCAGGCGGUGGAAAUGGAUGAUUUUUCGAACUUGGUUCUUUGUUCGAAGAAAAAAUGGCGGUUGACAAAAUCUGUCACGCCAUGUCAUGCCAUCCAUGCAAUAACUAGGCAAAGUCCCAUUGGCCUACGGCAAAAAGCUUUAUAAUAGCUUUCCCACAUAUGGUGUUUUUGUACUAAACAUGCAGGUAGACUUACAAAAGAUUGUAAGAUUUUGAAGAAAAUGUAUGAAACAUGUUCUUCCCUAUAUAUCUUAUUGGUGAUCUCCUGUGGAAAUUCAUUCAGAAGAACAAUAGCUGUUAGAUUGUCUUCUUUGUUUGAUGACAAUGGUGAGCAAGUUUCUAACGAACAUUAUAUAUUAUAUACACCUAUUUCAAUAAAGGUUGUCAGUGCAAAUGGCAAAUAGCGAUUGGCAAAUGGCAGUUCUACGACCGAAAGUAACCAUGCGUCUCG